AUGCCCAUCGCUGACAGGUGCGUUCUGGUUCGUUGCGUGCUCUCGGCCAUGCCCACCUUCGCCAUCACCGUGCUGCGGGCGCCAAAGAAGUUCUUCAAAGAGGUGCACAAGGCUAGGAGGCGGUUUCUUUGGGCGCAAGACGAGGAGGCCACCGGAGGAAAGUGCAAGGUGGGAUGGCAGACGGUGACUGCGCCAGAGCGCGCCGGGGGCCUGGGUAUCCAUGACCUGGACAAGUUUGCUCGGGCUCUCCAUCUCCGUUGGUUGUGGCUCACUUGGAAGCAGCCAACACGUCCCUGGGUCGGC
rnacentral:rRNA from 1 species